UACGGGGGGGGCAAGCGUUUUCGGAAUUACUGGGCGUAAAGGGCUCGUAGGCGGCCAACUAAGUCAGACGUGAAAUCCCUCGGCUUAACCGUGGAACGGCUGGGUAUACUGGUUCUCUUGAGCGACCCAGGGGCGAGCGGAACAAACGGUGGAACGGUGAAAUGUGUAGAUAUCGUUUGGAACGCCAAAGGUGAAAACAGCUCGCUGGGGGUCUGCUGACGCUGAGACACGAAAGCCAGGGUAGCGAACGGG
rnacentral:rRNA from 1 species